UACGGGGGGGGCAAGCGUUGUUCGGAAUUACAGGGCGUAAAGGGCUCGUAGGUGGCCAACUAAGUCAGACGUGAAAUCCCCAGGCUCAACUUGGGAACUGCGUCUGAUACUGGAUGGCUUGAAUUCGGGAGAGGGAUGCAGAAUUCCAGGUGUAGCGGUGAAAUGCGUAGAUAUCUGGAGGAAUACCGGUGGCGAAGGCGGCAUCCUGGACCGAUAUUGACACUGAUGAGCGAAAGCUAGGGGAGCAAACGGG
rnacentral:rRNA from 1 species